UGGCGAACGGGUGAGUAACGCGUGAGGAACCUGCCUCAAANAGGGGGGACAACAGUUGGAAACGACUGCUAAUACCGCAUAAGCCCACGGGUCGGCAUCGACCAGAGGGAAAAGGAGCAAUCCGCUUUGAGAUGGCCUCGCGUCCGAUUAGCUAGUUGGUGAGGUAAUGGCCCACCAAGGCAACGAUCGGUAGCCGGACUGAGAGGUUGAACGGCCACAUUGGGACUGAGACACGGCCCAGACUCCUACGGGAGGCAGCAUG
rnacentral:rRNA from 1 species